CUCUCUGAAGGCUGAGCACCAGGUGGACCUGACUCUUACCUUCCUCCAGCCAGUUACAUCAACUCUUUGUGCUAAGGAGCCAUGCCAGAUACUGCUUCCUGUGGCCCUGCUUGCGGACCUGCUGAAAGAGGACGAACAGAUCCCAGGCGGCCUUACCCUGAUCUCCACAGGCCUGUCUGAUCCUGUGGCAUCCUUCCCCGCUUCUUUCGUCAGUCAGGCAGAGGACCCUGUCUCCCAUCCACAUGCGACUCUGCCCAUCCAGCCUCACUUGGGUCAUGCAUCAGUCAUGAGGGGCUGGCUGGACUCCUCCCGGCUCAGCUGUAUGGCAACAGCUCCUGCCUCUAGGUCUGAGAGCUGCCUUCAAGCCACGUGCUUCGUUUUGGAAGCCACCACUGUUCCAGUAACGUAAGACAGAAGUAAGAAGUGAAAAGAAGCAUCCUGCUCACAGCAGGGGAACCCAGACGGCCACCAGGACUUGCAGUAUCUCUGGACACUUGAACAGAGACCUGAAGAAGGUGAGCCUGAGCCGGGCAGCUCUCUGACAGAAGGUUCCAGGGAAUGGCCCAUGGACUUUCCCUGUAAACCCCAUUAUCAGUUAUAAGAUGGACCAACUACUAAGCAUGAUCUCGGCUGCUGCUCAGUUAUCCCAGAUCUGAUGGAGGCCACACCGCCGUUCCAGAGGCUGGAAAGGGCUCUGCUUAGAGUCUUUAUAAAAAGACCGUUUCCUUAAUUACUUCAACCCUUGCUGUCCUGUGCUUUUCUCUUGGCUCCAGACAGCCUUCUACAUGCAUUUCCUGAAGCCAAGGCUGGCUUCAUGUGCAGGCAAACAGUAGCAGACAGUGCUGGGUGCUCUCAGAGACUUCCCUUCCCCACACACCCAAACUUCUGACUCUUCUGCUGGAUGGAGAUCCCUUGAACAGCUCAACUUGAUAUAUGUGACAACUAUCUAGAGUGUUUAUACAAAGUCCUGAUGGUUGGGUCCCACCCACACCGAAUGAAUCUGACUCUCUGGGGUUGGUCCCAGGCAACAAAGGGUACUUUUGAAAAGUUUCCUGGGUGAUUCUGACGUGCAGCCAAGUUGAGAAGUGCUGGCCUAGACCAAUCCUCUUAUUAUAGAGGGAGAAAGUGGCUUGUCCAAAGUCACAUGGCCCUCAGUGGCAGGAUUGGAAUGAAAAUCCAGGUCUUUUGACUCGUAGAACAAUGUCCGUUUCUAAAAGAAACAGAGGCUGGAAAAGAUAAGUCUCCCUGGGGAGAGGCACCUGGCCUUCAGGCACAGAGAUUGUUGGAUGAUGGAG
rnacentral:lncRNA from 1 species